UUUCCGUAGGUGAACCUGCGGAAGGAUCAUUAACGAGUUUUGGAAAGGGGUUGUAGUUGGCCAAAAACAAAGGUUUGUGCAAACCCUUCUCAAUUCCACUCUCACACCCCGGUGCACCUACUGUUGGCUCUGGUCCGAUCGCUGACUUCGGUUGGUUUGACUGCCUUGCUUAUGUUAUUACUAACGCGUCAGUUAAAGAAUGUCAUACCGCGUAUAACGCAUUAAAUACAACUUUCAACAACGGAUCUCUUGGCUCUC
rnacentral:misc_RNA from 1 species